GCCGUACUAGCGAAUGCAAAGCUGGACCACGUAUACAAUUUAGUGAGUAACUUGAUCAAAUCUCGGCUAUUUCCACUGAAUGUACAUCUUUCAUCCAAAGAGGUUGGUGGCGACUGCACUAUGAACGUGUCACGGUUGGCCUCUGACCUGAGGACAGCAGUCACUGCUGUGUGUCUCCUUGACAACGUAACG